rnacentral:lncRNA from 1 species
UUCAGCACCUGAAUUAGUGUUCCUUAUUUCACUUAAACCAAUCAAUAUUUAUUCAUCUCAUUUACAACAGAGCUCAGAACAUAACACACAGCUGCUUGAUCAUUAACUUAAACUCACAUCUAAUCUCCUAGAUUACGUAUGUGCAUGUGUGUGUGUGUGUGUGUGUGUGUGUGAUGUAGGCAAAAUAAGUGGACAAAUAGCCAAUAACAAUUUUGGUGUCUUAAUAGGUUGCUUGUUUGGGAUCUUAAUAGGUUGCUUGUACUGAACAUAUUCAGUACUGGUAAUUGCCUCAUAGUCAUUGGCUAGUCCAGUCUCCAACUUACAAUUUUCCUAUUGAGUCCACUUCCUGACCUAUUCCAAGACUCUAAUUUGUAUUCCUCAGAGAGACCAUCCAAAAGUGUCCUUUUUAGGCAGGAAGGCUACUAUGUCUGAAGGGUGUGAAUAUGGAUGACAAAAUUUAUCAAAAGUAAAACCACUCAGUAUUCCAGUAGGAUAAAAUAAUUUUAAUUUAAUCUUUAUUUAUGUUAUUCUCUUUGGUCUAGAACAAAUCAUUUAUUUAAUUAACAAAUAACUUCAAAAUUCUCCUGCUCUCCUACAAGUCAUACAGAGAGUUGGAAAAGAGGCAGUGGUGAGAGGGGACAUCCUCCCCUUGUUGUUAAACUUAUUGGGAAAACUUCAAGUUUUUCAUUAUUAUUAUAAUUUUAGCUGUAGGUUUUUUGUAAAUGUUCUUUAUCAAGUGGAGAAAUUUCCCCUCCAGUCCCAGUUUGCUGAGAAUUUUAGCAUACAUGAAUGUUGGGUUUGUCAAAUGCAUCUAUUUAUAUGAUGAUGUGAUUUUUCUUUUUUAGUCUGUUGAUAUAAUAAGUUACAUUAAUUGUUUUUUUUGAAUAUUGAACCGGCCUUGUAUACCUGGGAUAAAUCCCCUUGGUUGUGGUGGAUAAUUAUUUUUAUAUAUUUUUGAAUUAUAUUUGCUAAUAUUUUGUUUAGGAUUUCUGCAUAUAUGUUCAUGAGAGAUAUGUGGUUGUAGUUGUCAUUUCUUGUUAUGUCUUUAUCCACUUUUGAUAUUAGAGUAAUGCUGGCCUAAUAAAAUGAAUCAGAAAAUAAUCUCUUUGUUACUAUUUUUUGGAAGACAUUGUAGAAAAUUGGUAUAAUUUCUUCCUUAAAUGUUUGGUAGAAUCCACCAAAUACAUUUCAUUCUGUUGAGAAGAUUAAUUAUUGAUUAAAUUUCUUUAAUAAAUAUAGACCUAUUCAAGUUGUCUAUUUCUUCUCAUGUGAGUUUUGGCAGCUUGUGUCCUUCAAGGAAUUGGUCCAUUUCACCUAAGUUAUCAAAUUUACAGAAAUACAAUUGUUCAUAAUAUUUCACUAUUAUCCUUUUAAUGUUCAUAAGAUAUAUAGUGAUGCUCCCUCUUUCAUUACUGAUAUUAGUAACUUGUGUCUUCCAUGUUUUUUCAUAGAUUGCUUGACUAAAGUCUUAUCAAUUAUAUUGAUCUUUUAAAAAAUAGCUAAUGGUUUUGAUUUUCUCUAUGAUUUCCUGUUUUUAAUUUCAUUGUUUUAUGCUCUAAUUUCAGUUAUUUCUUUUUUUCUCUUUACA